rnacentral:miRNA from 9 species
AACACACCUGGUUAACCUCUUU